rnacentral:tRNA from 1 species
GAUGGCUCAGUGGUUAAGAGCACUGACUGCUCUUCCAGAGGUCCUGAGUUCAAUACCCAGCA